UUUGAUCCAAAUACCAAAUUCAAUACCAAUGGCAAUAAGGCAAUAACCAAGCCAGUAUUAGUAGAAUUGGGACAAACUGCUCCAUUUUGGAACAAAAAUCCCUCUAAAUAUAAAAUGUUUGUAAGCAAUCAAUGCUACUCCUAUGAAUCACUCAUUUUUUAUUUCCAAUUUUCUCCUGUCUUUACCUUUCUUCACCAAACUGAUUUUUGCUCUUUCUUCUUUCCCUCUUUCCCUUUCUUCACCAAACUAACUUUUGUUCAACUAGCUGUCAAUUUCUGAUUUUUGUUCAACAGGUAAAGCUUUGAUUCAGGCGAAGAAACCAACUGUCAUUCGGACAAAAUUGCACAGAUUCAGUAUAUUUUCGGAUAACACUUGGUGUCUUUCGACCAAUGGAGGAAGAUGCUCCGAUUUUGGAUAGAAAAUGAAGCAAGGAAAAGCCGAGCGCGGUCAAAGGUUCUAGAGGAGGUGGGAUGUCAAUGGAAAUGGGAUAGACAAUAGUGCUUUAAAAGUCGGAACUAAGAUCUAUUUUGUUGCUCGCAUACAAAAAGUUUGUCUGUUUGAUUGAACUUUUGUGUAUACUUGUCACAGAGACGUGUAUUUGUAGUUAGACCAAGGUUGUCUUGCUUUGCUUUUGGUAGCAGUCAUGCACAAUAACUCAAUUGGAUCAAAGUGACUUGAUUUGGAAAUCUACUAUGUAAUUUGUAUAUAUGUUGUUGGCAAAGCAAUUAUGUAUGAGUUAUCUCGACCCAAAAUUUUUUUGGUAAAGGAAAUCUUUAAUAUGGUAAUCUCAUGCCAUAAUACAUCUCAACAAUUAGCUUGUAAACAUUGUUUUAUAUGGCUUUCAAUGUUGCAAUUUGCUAGCUAUGAGUUGUUUAUCAAACUUUGUAAAUAACUUUUCUAUCUUUGUGUAUUUUACAAUAAGUUUAAUGUUAUUUUUUAUUAGCUACAAGUUCAAUUGAAAUCAAUUUAAUCCAUAAUGGGAAUCUUUUCUUGAUUGUGUUAUUGUCAAAUAAAAAAAUGUCCACAGAAACAAUUGCUUUAUUGUUCGCGACUUAUAGUAAUAAUUCAAUGAUAACUAUACAAUACAAGUAGCAAUUUGCUAUUUAUUACUUGAUUGUGUAAAUUGUGGUUUUUUCUUUUGCUAAGCUCCUU